AAGUCGUAACAAGGUUUCCGUAGGUGAACCUGCGGAAGGAUCAUUAACGAAUAUCUAUGGCGUUGGUUGUAGCUGGCUCCUAGGAGCAUUGUGCACGCCCGUCAUUCAUAUCAUCUUUCCACCUGUGAACCAUGUGUAGGCCUGGAUACCCCUCGCUUUGGCAACAAAGCGGAUGCAAGGAUUGCUGCGUCGACAAGGCCGGCUCUCUUUGAAUUUCCAGGUUCUAUGUCUUUUUACACACCCCAUUCGAAUGAUUUAGAAUGUAGUCAAUGGGCUUUCAUGCCUAUAAAAAACUAUACAACUUUCAGCAACGGAUCUCUUGGCUCUC
rnacentral:misc_RNA from 1 species